GGACAGGUGGCCGAGUGGUUGAAGGCACCGCUCUCGAAAAGCGGCAAGGGUUCGCGCCCUUCGUGAGUUCGAAUCUCACCCUGUCCGCCA
rnacentral:tRNA from 2 species